GACGAACGCUGGCGGCGUGCUUAACACAUGCAAGUCGAACGGAAAGGCCCUGCGUUUGUUGGGUGCUCGAGUGGCGAACGGGUGAGUAACACGUGAGUAACCUGCCCUUGACUGUGGGAUAACUUCAGGAAACUGGGGCUAAUACCGGAUAGGAGCUCCUGCUGCAUGGUGGGCGUUGGAAAGUUUCGGCGGUUGGGGAUGGACUCGCGGCUUAUCAGCUGGUUGGUGGGGUAGGGGCUUACCAAGGCUUUGACGGGUAGCCGGCCUGAGAGGGUGACCGGCCACAUUGGGACUGAGAUACGGCGCAGACUCCUACGGGAGGCAGCAGUGGGGAAUAUUGCACAAUGGGCGGAAGCCUGAUGCAGCAACGCCGCGUGCGGGAUGACGGCCUUCGGGUUGUAAACCGCUUUCGCCUGUGACGAAGCGUGAGUGACGGUAAUGGGUAAAGAAGCACCGGCUAACUACGUG
rnacentral:rRNA from 1 species